AGUCGAGCUCGACGGGGGUGACCGAGUUGAAGGCCAUGGGAUCCCUCGCCACAGCGCACUUCCGGCGGGCGCUCGUGGUUCCGGGCGUGACCGAUAAGCUCCCGGUCUGGCCGCUGUAUGGUGCUCGUCGAGUGCCGACGCCUCGCGACGGUUUCAGAGAGAAUUUUUGACGGGGCACCGAGUCGCGCGGGAUCGGUGACUCGGGGUUGGGGCGAGCAGGGUGAGCGUGUGAGACCUGGCUCGGCUUCCGUUAUGAAGCUCAACUCGCCAGUCU
rnacentral:lncRNA from 1 species